UACGGGGGGGGCAAGCGUUGUUCGGAAUUAUUGGGCGUAAAGGGCGCGUAGGCGGUGUGGCAAGUCUCCUGUGAAAUCUCCGGGCUUAACUCGGAGCCUGCAGGGGAAACUGCCGCGCUUGAGUGUGGGAGAGGUGAGUGGAAUUCCCGGUGUAGCGGUGAAAUGCUUAGAUAUGACAUAGAACACCCAUUGCGAAGGCAGCUUACUACACGAUCAUUGACGCUGAGGCACGAAAGCGUGGGGAGCAAACAGG
rnacentral:rRNA from 1 species